rnacentral:rRNA from 1 species
GACGAACGCUGGCGGCGUGCUUAACACAUGCCAGUCGAACGGAAAGGCCCUGCUUUUGUGGGGUGCUCGAGUGGCGAACGGGUGAGUAACACGUGAGUAACCUGCCCUUGACUGUGUGAUAACUUCAGGAAACUGGGGCUAAUACCGGAUAGGAGCUCCUGCUGCAUGGUGGGGGUUGGAAAGUUUCGGCGGUUGGGGAUGGACUCGCGGCUUAUCAGCUUGUUGGUGGGGUAGUGGCUUACCAAGGCUUUGACGGGUAGCCGGCCUGAGAGGGUGACCGGCCACAUUGGGACUGAGAUACGGCCCAGACUCCUACGGGAGGCAGCAGUGGGGAAUAUUGCACAAUGGGCGGAAGCCUGAUGCAGCAACGCCGCGUGCGGGAUGACGGCCUUCGGGUUGUAAACCGCUUUCGCCUGUGACGAAGCGUGAGUGACGGUAAUGGGUAAAGAAGCACCGGCUAACUACGUG